GAGCUUAUUCACAGAAGUACA
rnacentral:miRNA from 8 species